CCUACGGGAGGCAGCAGUAGGGAAUAUUGCUCAAUGGGGGAAACCCUGAUGCAGCGACGCCGCGUGAGUGAAGGAGUAAUUCGUUCUGUAAAGCUCUAUCAGCAGGGACGAAAAUGACGCUCCCUGAGUCCGAAGCCCCGGCUACCUACGUGCCAGCAGCCGCGGUACUUCGUAGGGGGCACGCGUUAUCCGGCUUUACGGGUUGUAAAGGGAGCGUAGACGGCAGGGAAGGUCUGGAGUGAAAGGCGGGGGCUCAACGCCCGGACUGCUCUGGACACUGUACGGCUGGAGUGCAGGAGAGGUAGGUGGAAUGCGGAGUGUAGCGGUGAAAUGCGUAGAUAUUAGGAGGAACACCAGUUGCGAAGGCGGCUUACUGGACUGUAAAUGACGUGGAGGCUCGAAAGCGUGGGGAGCAAACAGGAUUAGAUACCCCAGUAGUC
rnacentral:rRNA from 1 species